UGGGGAAUAUUGCACAAUGGGCGCAAGCCUGAUGCAGCCAUGCCGCGUGUAUGAAGAAGGCCUUCGGGUUGUAAAGUACUUUCAGUCGGGAGGAAGGUGGUAAGGUUAAUAACCUUGGCAAUUGACGUUACCGACAGAAGAAGCACCGGCUAACUCCGUGCCAGCAGCCGCGGUAAUACGGAGGGUGCAAGCGUUAAUCGGAAUUACUGGGCGUAAAGCGCACGCAGGCGGUUUGUUAAGUCAGAUGUGAAAUCCCCGGGCUCAACCUGGGAACUGCAUCUGAUACUGGCAAGCUUGAGUCGCGUAGAGGGGGGUAGAAUUCCAGGUGUAGCGGUGAAAUGCGUAGAGAUCUGGAGGAAUACCGGUGGCGAAGGCGGCCCCCUGGACGAAGACUGACGCUCAGGUGCGAAAGCGUGGGGAGCAAACAGG
rnacentral:rRNA from 1 species